GAUUACAGGCGUGAGCCACCACGCCCGGCUAUACUUAUUCUUAAAGCAUCAGUUCCAUGGGUUAAUUUAUUUCUUUGUUAUUUCUAUAAUGUUAUAUCUUCUUAGCUUUUCAUAUAUUUAUUUUGAUACCUACCUAGGGUGCAACAACUUUCUAGGUUGAAGCAAAAAGUAAUAAUAACCCAGGAUACGAUGUGGGUUACCUAUUCAAUUCUUAAUUUGACAUGGAAACUGAUUACUUUUUCCAAGGGUUUUGAAGAGCCAUUGGGUCAACAGGCUGGGCUGCCAUUUUUUUUUUUUUUCUUGGCUUAAUCUUCACUUGUUACAUCAGUGAAAUUUGUAAGUCUGGGUCUUUUACACAGUCUUCCGUUUUAUUGCAACCUGGUGUCUCUCUCCAAAAUUUUAUACAUUGCAAGUCUCACUUGGCCAAUGUUACAUAACCCAUUGUCCUGUCAUUGUGACAUAUGGAUCUGGUCUGUGAGCAUUAUUUAAGACUGCUAGAUACCUUUUAUUACCUUGUAAUUAGUAGGGUCAUCUAGAGGUUUCACAGGAGAUGAGAGAUUGGGUCUGCGUGUUUUUCUCCUCCCCAAGACAUUCAGCUAAUCCAUCACUGUGAAACACCUGGCAAAAUGUUCCAUCUACUUGGUUACUGGGUCCACAUGCCUGCCAGGGCUGGCUCACCAAGCUCAUCUUCCAUCUGAUUGUCAGUGAGGCCAGCAGUGCCACCUUGUCCUUUUGGUUGUCUUACCGUUUCCAUGACUUCUUAGCUUACUCAUGGGUCCCCGUGAUUUUUCUUUCCUGUUUCUGUCAUCUAGAGGUUUCACAGGAGAUGAGAGAUUGGGUCUGCGUGUUUUUCUCCUCCCCAAGACAUUCAGCUAAUCCAUCACUGUGAAACACCUGGCAAAAUGUUCCAUCUACUUGGUUACUGGGUCCACAUGCCUGCCAGGGCUGGCUCACCAAGCUCAUCUUCCAUCUGAUUGUCAGUGAGGCCAGCAGUGCCACCUUGUCCUUUUGGUUGUCUUACCGUUUCCAUGACUUCUUAGCUUACUCAUGGGUCCCCGUGAUUUUUCUUUCCUGUUUCUAUAGCUAGAAACAGAUACAUGGUAAUAAGUUAUAAAGAAAUACAAUGAAUAGCAAAAAAUAAAAGAUCCAUAUGUAACCAUACCUCAACUUAUUGGAAUAAUAAAAACAAAUAGAUCUUAUUAUUUUACCUUUUAAUUACAACCACCUUUUUGUAUAACUUAUAUGAACUUUUUUAGUGUCAUGAAUUCAUGGCUUUUCAUUAACUUAUCUUGUUCUAAUCAACUAUAUUUCAUCCUCUUCUCCUCAUUUCCUUCCCUCUUUUUGCUGUUCAGAUGAUCACUUUGCCAGUGGAAAGCGCUUUCAUCUGCCCCCUCCCCUCUUUUAAUGCUACACUGAUAUCCUUGAAAGCAAUCUUAUUUUCCGCCAACAGCAGGAUGCUUGAUAGCCAUCCUUACUUUCCAUUUUUUCUCCAAGGCAUAGAACCACCUACCCUCUAAAAGAUCCCAAUUCCUUUUAGUGGGGAAUAGUGUUAGAGCCCAGGAUCUGAAUACGAUGUGGGUGUGUGCAGUCUCGGUGCCCAGGAUCUGGGAUCUGAAUACGAUGUGGGUGUGUGCAGUCUCGGUGCCCGGGAUCUGAAUACGAUGUGGGUGUGUGCAGUCUUGGUGCCCAGGAUAUGGGAUCUGAAUACGAUGUGGGUGUGUGCAGUCUCGGUGCUGUGACUCCAGCUCUUCUGUUUGGGUCUCAUGUCAUGCUGCCCCAUGGGACCAAACACAAUUGUACUUCAGACUCAUGGUGCUCUGCUAGAGGCUGUUCUUUCCACCACUGGCCUUGGGAAGCAACAGAAGCUGUUCUUCCCACCACCACUCUGGCCUAACGUUCCCUUAAUUUCUCA
rnacentral:lncRNA from 1 species